rnacentral:rRNA from 1 species
UACGUAGGGGGCAAGCGUUGUCCGGAAUUAUUGGGCGUAAAGAGCGCGUAGGCGGUCCGAUAAGUCGGCUGUGAAAGUCAGGGGCUCAACCCUUGAAAGCCGGCCGAUACUGUCGGACUAGAGUCCGGAAGAGGCAAGUGGAAUUCCCGGUGUAGCGGUGAAAUGCGCAGAUAUCGGGAGGAACACCAAUGGCGAAGGCAGCUUGCUGGGACGGUACUGACGCUGAGGCGCGAAAGCGUGGGGAGCAAACAGG